CACGUAGGGCGCGAGCGUUGUCCGGAAUUAUUGGGCGUAAAGAGCUCGUAGGCGGCCUGUUGCGUCCGCUGUGAAAGCCCGGGGCUUAACCCCGGGUCGGCAGUGGAUACGGGCAGGCUAGAGGUAGGUAGGGGAGAAUGGAAUUCCCGGUGUAGCGGUGAAAUGCGCAGAUAUCGGGAGGAACACCAGUGGCGAAGGCGGCUUCCUGGCCUGUUCUUGACGCUGAGGCGCGAAAGCUAGGGGAGCAAACGGG
rnacentral:rRNA from 1 species